UACGUAGGGUGCAAGCGUUGUCCGGAAUUAUUGGGCGUAAAGAGCUCGUAGGCGGUCUGUCGCGUCGGCUGUGAAAACCCGGGGCUCAACCCCGGGCCUGCAGUCGAUACGGGCAGACUAGAGUGCGGUAGGGGAGACUGGAAUUCCGGGUGUAGCGGUGGAAUGCGUAGAGAUCCGGAAGAACACCGGUGGCGAAGGCGGUCUGCUGGGGUAAUGCUGACACUGAUGCGCGACAGCGUGGGGAGCAACAGG
rnacentral:rRNA from 1 species